rnacentral:rRNA from 1 species
UGAGGAAUAUUGGUCAAUGGGCGAGAGCCUGAACCAGCCAAGUAGCGUGAGGGAUGACUGCCCUAUGGGUUGUAAACCUCUUUUGAUUGGGAACAAAGAGCGCCACGUGUGGUGCGUUGCGUGUACCUUUCGAAUAAGCACCGGCUAACUCCGUGCCAGCAGCCGCGGUAAUACGGAGGGUGCAAGCGUUAAUCGGAAUAACUGGGCGUAAAGGGCAUGCAGGCGGUUCAUCAAGUAGGAUGUGAAAUCCCCGGGCUCAACCUGGGAACAGCAUACUAAACUGGUGGACUAGAGUAUUGCAGGGGGAGACGGAAUUCCAGGUGUAGCGGUGGAAUGCGUAGAUAUCUGGAAGAACACCAAAGGCGAAGGCAGUCUCCUGGGCAAAUACUGACGCUCAUAUGCGAAAGCGUGGGUAGCAAACAGGAUUAGAUACCCUGGUAGU